rnacentral:rRNA from 1 species
UACGAAGGGGGCUAGCGUUGUUCGGAAUUACUGGGCGUAAAGCGCACGUAGGCGGAUUGUUAAGUCAGGGGUGAAAUCCUGGAGCUCAACUCCAGAACUGCCUUUGAUACUGGCGAUCUCGAGUCCGGGAGAGGUGAGCGGAACUGCGAGUGUAGAGGUGAAAUUCGUAGAUAUUCGCAAGAACGACCAGUGGCGGAAGGCGG